ACUCACUCAUAAAUCCUCCGACAAGCAUAGAUAAUGCGCAGUGAGUCGUUGAGCAGAACUGGAGAAGCAGUGCUUUUGUCCCCUCAAGAAGACUGCAACUCCACCUGCUCUGUGUUUUUCAGUCAUACUAUUCUGCCUUUUUUAAAGAACCCCGCCCUUAAAACCGUUAGCUGUAGUUACAACAGCCCUUUUUCCAUUUCAAGAUUUUACAGUAACCCAUUUAAAACAUUUUUGUCUUUUUAUUAUACCGUAUGUUAUGCCAUGUGCAUUUGAUAAAAAUGCCCAUUUAGUGAAAUGGUUACUGUAUGAAAUCCAAUUAGCAUCUGUUCAUGGAUUUGGUAUGUUUUGCUCAAAAAAAUUGUAUUUUCUGUGCAUUGUCUAGCUCUGCUUAAACCCAAUUUAUUAGUGUUAUGCAUUCUAUACCCACUUACCUCAUCCUUUAAAGAUGCUUAGAUAUUUUUAUUUAUUUAUCUUCAUCUUUUAAUGCAAGCAAAAUUAUAGGUUAUCGCUGAGUAAUAUGAUACAAGGACCAGUGUGUAUAUUGUGUACAAUAAAAAAUAACAUGAAAUCAGUAUCAUGUUAUUGUUUUCCACACAUUUUUCUCCCCAACAUUGUCCCUUUUGUGAAUUUAUGUUAAUCAGGUUUUAUAUAAUUUAUAAAAAUGCCAGUUCAGCUUUGAUUCAAAUGUAGAAUUGUAAAGAAAAAACAAGACAAAAGACCUGCGGCUCUGUACUUCAAAUACAGCUGUUUUGAAAUGACUUUUGGAAAUUUUAUCUGCUGUAUUCAUUGUACCUUUUUUACAAAAAGAAAACCCAAUAAAUAUAAUAGUUUUCCUAGUGUGUCAA